GAAUUCGAUUCGGUGUGACAAGGCCCGGGAACGUAUUCACCGCGACAUUGCUGAUUCGCGAUUACUAGCGACUCCGACUUCACGGGGUCGGGUUGCAGACCCCGAUCCGAACUGAGACCGGCUUUCCGGGAUUCGCUCACCCUCACAGGCUCGCAGCCCUCUGUACCGGCCAUUGUAGCAUGUUUGCAGCCCAAGACAUAAGGGGCAUGAUGACUUGACGUCAUCCCCACCUUCCUCCGAGUUGACCCCGGCAGUCUCCCAUGAGUCCCCAACCUAAUGCUGGCAACAUGGGACAAGGGUUGCGCUCGUUGCGGGACUUAACCCAACAUCUCACGACACGAGCUGACGACAGCCAUGCACCACCUGUGACCGGCCCCGAAGGACCCCAUGUCUCCAUGAGUUUUCCGGCCAUGUCAAACCUUGGUAAGGUUCUUCGCGUUAAUCACUA
rnacentral:rRNA from 1 species